AUGUGGGAUUUCUAAGACAACUAGGAUGUUGGCUUAGAAGCAGCCACUCAUUUAAAGAGUGCGUAAUAGCUCACUAGUCGAGAGAUCCUGCGCCGAAGAUGUAACGGGGCUCAAACUUACCACCGAAGCUAUGGAUGUGUACUAUGUACACGUGGUAGAGGAGCUUUCUGUACAGGUUGAAGUCAUACCGUAAGGAGUGGUGGACAGUACAGAAGUGAGAAUGCUGGCAUAAGUAGCGAAAAACAAGUGAGAAUCUUGUUGACCGAAUAUCUAAGGUUUCCUGGGGAAGGCUCGUCCUCCCAGGGUUAGUCGGGCCCUAAGCCGAGGCCGAAAGGCGUAGGUGAUGGACAACUGGUUGAUAUUCCAGUACCACCAUAAUGCGUUUGACAAAUGGGAUGACGCAGGAGGAUAGGAUGUGCGCACUAUUGGAUGUGCGUCUAAGCACUUAGGGUGUUAAGUAGGCAAAUCCGCUUAACAUUAAGCCUGAGGUGUGAUGGGGAGCCUAUUUUGGCGAAGUAUCUGAUUCCACGCUGCCAAGAAAAGUCUCUAUGGAGCAAAAUGGUGCCCGUACCGCAAACCGACACAGGUAGAUGAGGAGAGAAUCCUAAGGUCGUCGGAAGAAUUAUUGCUAAGGAACUCGGCAAAUUGACCCCGUAACUUAGGGAGAAGGGGUGCCUACGAGAGUAGGCCGCAGUGAAUAGGCUCAAGCAACUGUUUAUCAAAAACACAGG
rnacentral:rRNA from 1 species